rnacentral:tRNA from 1 species
UUAAAAUUCGUUGGCUUUAUAAACCGUGAG